AUAUGUUGUUUUGUAAUCUGUAGGAAAGGAGCGAGAAGAAUUGGGCAAAUGCUCUUGUAAUCGGGCAUUACAGCUAGACUAAUUUAUGAAUUGGAACUUGAGGCGCAAGCUUGUGAAAAUGAGAAUGAGGUCACCGAAAUUAAUGGUUCUAGUUCAAACGUCACCUCAUCCCAAGUUAAAGAUGAUCCCAUGUAUUUAAAGUUAUGGGAGAAGUCAAAGAGGCAUAAAAAUGGGAAGUUUGACGAUGAGGCCGAGGAGAAGUUCAAGGAAUUAAAGGAGUUGCAUGAGAAGAAAAUUGGUGAAAAGGGGGUUGAUAAUCUUACUCUUGAAGAAGCUUAUGUGAAGGUUCUUGGACAUCGUUCAGGUUAUGCCCGAGGUUUAGGCAAAGGGCACCCGGUGUCAUCUAAAGAUGGAAAGAUAGGAAGAGCUGAGCUGGAAACUACAAAAUGAAAAUAAUAUUAUGCGAGCUGAAUUGGAAGCGUCUAAGAAGAAACAAGAAGACCUAGAACAAAAGCUUCGGUUAAUCAUGGAGAAGAUUGGCCUUGAUGCUUGAUAAAGCUUGUUUCUGUCAUGUUUGCAGUUAGGGGAUCAAGUCAGUGUCCUGAUGUUUUGGGGAUGGAGGACACCAAAGGCUGGUUGCAUUUCUUGGAUGGAAAAAGGGGAUGCUUGAAGAUGCAAGGAUGAAAAGAUGUCCUAGAAUUAUUAAAUAAUUGCUUUUUGGAAAACUUGGUUAAUACUUUUGUAUAUAUAAUGACAAAAUUAGAAUAUAUAAUGACAAAAUUAGAAUUUAUAUUAA